ensembl:lncRNA
CUUUAUGAUGAAGAAAACAAUAAAAAAAUCGAACAAAAAAUCGAAAAUGAUGUUCUUGCUAUAAAUAAAAAAUACACAUAUAAAACCGUACCUAUAAAUAUUUAUACCAACCAAAGAGCCACAUUUGACAGUGUAUUAUUAAAAAAGUCGUUAAAUAAUAAUAAAAAAAAUGGGAACGAAAGUGACGACGAGAGUAAGAGCGAGAGUAAGAGCGAGAGUAAGAGCGAGAGUAAGAACGAGAGUAAGAACAAGAAUAAAAACAAAAUCGAAACUAUAUAUUCACACAAGUUAAAUAAUUUAUCAGGUGAUACCACAAACGGUACUUGUUUAACCAACCUAAAUGAACAAAGUGCUCUGAAUUUAGGGUUCGAAUGUAUUAAAGAGAGUGAGAGUACUAUGGAUAGAUAUAAUAGUAACAACUCGCAGGUUUUAAUAGACACAUAUAGUAAUAGUAACUAUAGUAGCUUUAGUAGCUGCUUCGGUAGAAUUAAUAACACUGAAUGUGACAAAUAUCACAAGGCACCGACAUUUAAUGUUCAACAUAGUAUUAAUGAUAUGGAAGAAUAUAACAAAUUAAAAAAUAAAACAAAGGACAAAAUGUUAUAUAAACCUGAGUGUCACAAAAACUAUACCAACAACAUCAGUAAUGUCAACUGUAAUUACAUUGAGUCACAUGCUACUACUCACAAUGAUAAAUUAGGUAAUGACCAUAUACACAUGUAUUGCGGCAAAAAAAAUAAUAUGGAAAAUAGUAAUAAUAAUAGUAAUAAAUACACCUGUUGGCUUAAUUCCUUUUCAACACAUUACCAAAAAAGUUUAAAACAGUUGGAUCAUUAUAAUCAGUUUGGUAAUAAUAACGUUUUGCGCAUGGACUCGAAUAAUUGUACAGACAUAGGAACAGACGCAGGCAUAAGCACAAAUACAAGCACAAACAUAAGUAACUACAAUUAUAACAAUCAUUUGCUAACAAAAAUGAACAACAAUAUUUAUACAGAUAAUUAUAAUUAUAAAAAUCAGUAUAAAACUAAUUAUUAUAAAAAUGGUGAUGAUGGUACUUAUAUAGCUACGAACCAAACGUUGGAAAAACCUUUCACGUUUUUCGCUUUAAAUUCCGUACCAGAAGAAGUUUUGAAAAAUAAUAGUAACAAUGACAGUACUAAUGUAUUGCCGUCUUCACAUACUACCGAAAGUAAAGGACAUUGUGAAAAUAUAAAUGAAGAGAUGAAAACAGUUAGUAAUAAUAAUUACAUGGAUAACAUUAGUAACGAGUUUAAUGACUACACUCAAACAUAUGUAGAUAAAAGUAACAUGACUGUUGCUACUACUGGUGGUACCAACACUGCUAAUACUAAUGAAGGUAGUAGUAUCAUUGGUUUAAUAACAGACAAGGGGUGUACCAAUAUGAAUACAAAAACUGUUUCUUCAACUAUGAGUAAUCUAAAUGAACAUACUAACAAAUUUAUAAACAAAAUAAAUGAACAUCAAUAUAAUAUAUAUGACGAAUUAAAUACUAUGAAUGAAAAUAAUACAUAUGUAGUAAUACCUUCCAUAAAAAAUACAAACAUGAUAAAAAGUUAUGAUCAUAUACAUUCAGAAAAUGAUAAGACGAAAUCAUGUCCUUCUAUGUCGAAUAAUACUAAUGGUCUAUAUGGUAUGAGAGAUACUUCAUAUGCAUACAACAUGAAUAAUAAUAUGUGUCCCUAUUUUAUAAAUGACAAUUCGAAUUCUUAUUUAAAGACAGUAUAUAUAAAUCCUUCAAAAAAUGGGUUGAACGAUGAGCAAAUGAAUCAAACAAUGUGUUAUUUUUAUUGUAAAGAUUGUGAUGAAGUAAGGGACGAUCAAGUUGGUUUAGAUACAAAUAGUUUUAUUAAUACGCAAAACACUAAUAAAAAAGACAUUAUUAUUACAUCUAUUGAAAAAACAAAUGACGUGAAAACAUGUACACAUGCAACUAGUGGUAUAGAUUCUAAGGACUAUAUGACGAAUGAUAUGUUUUAUGAAAACGGAAAUAAACAACUAGAUGAAAAUAUAAAAAUAAACGAUUGUUUUAAUUCUAUGGACAGUUAUAGACAAGAUAUAAAUAGUACUAACAAUAAUUCUCGUAAUAAUGAUAUUAAUAAUGAUGAUGACCUCACUAAUGAUGACCCUAACAAUAUUGAUAUUAAUAACAAUAUUGAAGAUUAUAAGUCAUCUUUUUCUAUGUUAUAUUUAUUCGGAAAAGUAAAAUUUUAUAUUAGUAUUAUUGAUAUUAUUCAUAAUAAAACAAACUCACAUGACCUUUUGUGGGUACCUAGAUGUUGUAAUGGUAGUUUUGGUACAUUUUUAAAAAAUGAUUAUCUUAAUGCAAACGAAAUUGAUAAACAUAUACCAGAAGAUAAAAUAGAUAUUGACUGUAUUAAUUUGAAACUAAUGGAAACUAGAUUCAGUAAAAAUGUUGCUAGUUCUAGAACAACUAAACGAAAAAGAAUGAUAGAUAUUGAUAAAACAGUUUUACAUUUUUAUAAAGAACAUAUUAGUGAGUUUUUUAAUAAUAAAAAUAAAAUUAUUAGGUUAACCAAAAAGUUAUGUAAGUAUAAAAAAAAAAGAAAAUACAAUAAUAAGGAAAAUGGUAAUAGUAGUGGUGUGAGUACUAGUUAUAAAAAUAUAUCAUAUGAUGAUGAGCCUGUUUCAAGUCAUUAUAAUUCUAAACGGAAAAAUGCAACAAAAGGAUGUGUUAGUAGUAGUAAUAAUAAUAAAAUGGCAGUAACUGUAGGUACAGCUACUAGUACUGGUAGUAGGGGUACAGGUAGAGGUACGGUUACUAGUACUGGCAGGGGGGGCAUAAGUACAGGCAUAGGCAUAGGCAUAGGCACAGGUAUAGGUAUAGGUAUAGGUACAAAUACAGGUACAGGUACAGGUACAGGUACACGUACAAGUACAGGUACAGGUACAGGUACAGGCACUAGUACACGUACAAGUACAGGUACAGGCACAGGUACCUACAAAAGAAAAAAAAAAAAAAGUACCUACCAACAAAAUGUUUCAGCAGAUGCAUCUGUAGAUACUAAUGGAAACACAACAAAUAAUACUAAUUUUAAUAUGAAUGAUGAAUGUAAUAAAAACCUUUCUAUAAAUUUUGAACAUGAUACUGUUAACACUAAUCCAGACUUUAAUUAUAUUGGACGUAAUUGCAACUACAACAGCACUGACAGUAACUAUAUAAGAAAUGACCAUAACUACAUAAGUAACGACGGAAAUUACAUAAACAAUGAUGGUAACUACAUAAACAUUUGUCAUAACUACAUAAAUAAUGAUAGUAAUUACAUAAAUAAUGAUAGUAAUUACAUAAUUAAUGAUAGUAGUUACAUAAAUAAUGACAAUAACUGCAUAAAUAAUGAUGGUAAUUACAUAAAUAAUGAUAGUAACUACAUAAGUAACGACAGUAACUACAUAAGUAACGAUAAUAACUACAUAAGUAACGACAGUAACUACAUAAGUAACGAUAAUAACUACAUAAGUAACGACAGUAACUACAUAAGUAACGAUAAUAACUACAUAAGUAACGACAGUAACUACAUAAGUAACGAUAAUAACUACAUAAGUAACGACAGUAACUACAUAAG